rnacentral:piRNA from 1 species
UUUGAACAAAUAAACCAGUGGACAGU